UACGGAGGGUGCGAGCGUUGUCCGGAAUCACUGGGCGUAAAGGGCGCGUAGGUGGCUUGGCAAGCGUGUGGUGAAAGCCCGGGGCUCAACCCCGGAAUUGCCUUUAAGACUGCAUCGCUUGAACGUCGGAGAGGUGAGUGGAAUUCCGAGUGUAGAGGUGAAAUUCGUAGAGAUCCGGAAGAACACCGGUGGCGAAGGCGGCCUGCUGGGCAGUAGCUGACACUGAGGCGCGACAGCGUGGGGAGCAAACAGG
rnacentral:rRNA from 1 species